GCUUGAGGAGGAGCUUGCGGCAGAUUAGCUAGUUGGUAGGUAACGGCUUACCAAGGCUACGAUCUGUAACCGGUCUAAGAGGACGGUCGGUCACACUGACACUGAAUAACGGGUCAGACUCCUACGGGAGGCAGCAGUCGGGAAUUUUGGGCAAUGGGCGAAAGCCUGACCCAGCAACGCCGCGUGAAGGAUGAAGUAUUUCGGUAUGUAAACUUCGAAAGAAUAGGAAGAAUUAAUGACGGUACUAUUUAUAAGGUCCGGCUAACUACGUGCCAGCAGCCGCGGUAAUACGUAGGGACCAAGCGUUGUUCGGAUUUUACUGGGCGUAAAGGGCGCGUAGGCGGUGCGGUAAGUCACUUGUGAAAUCUCUGAGCUUAACUCAGAACGGCCAAGUGAUACUGCAGUACUAGAGUGCAGAAGGGGCAAUCAGAAUUCUUGUGUAGCGUGAAAUGCGUAGAUAUCAAGAGGAAUACCUGAGGUGAAGACGGUUGCUAGGCUGACACUGACGCUGAGGCGCGAAAG
rnacentral:rRNA from 1 species